rnacentral:tRNA from 2 species
GGACGGUUAGCUCAAUGGUUAGAGCGUCCGGUUUACAUCCGGGAGGUUGUAGGUUCGAGUCCUAUACCGUCCA